CCUACGGGGGGCAGCAGUGGGGAAUAUUGCACAAUGGGGGAAACCCUGAUGCAGCGACGCCGCGUGAGUGAAGAAGGGUUUCGGCGCGGAAAGCUCUGUCAGCGGGGAAGAAACACGGGUCGCGAGAGCCGCGGACGGUACACGACCAAGAAGACCCGGCGAACGACGUGCCAGCAGCCGCGGGAAUACGUAGGGGGCAAGCGUUAUCCGGAGUCACUGGGGGGAAAGGGAGCGUAGAGGGCGAGACAAGUCUGGCGGGAAAGGCCGGGGCCCAACCCCGGGUCUGCUCUGGAAACUGCCUGGCUGGAGUACAGGAGAGGUCAGUGGAUUUCCUAGUGUAGCGGU
rnacentral:rRNA from 1 species